rnacentral:rRNA from 1 species
CAGUCGCCGCGGGAAUACGUAGGGUGCGAGCGUUAAUCGGAAUUACUGGGCGUAAAGCGUGCGCAGGCGGUUAUAUAAGACAGAUGUGAAAUCCCCGGGCUCAACCUGGGACCUGCAUUUGUGACUGUAUAGCUAGAGUACGGUAGAGGGGGAUGGAAUUCCGCGUGUAGCAGUGAAAUGCGUAGAUAUGCGGAGGAACACCGAUGGCGAAGGCAAUCCCCUGGACCUGUACUGACGCUCAUGCACGAAAGCGUGGGGAGCAAACAGGAUUAGAUACCCCUGUAGUCCCUGUCUCUUAUAC